ensembl:lncRNA
UCAUCACUUAGCGAAAGAAGCAACCUUUAUUUUUCUUCCAAAUUUAUGAAGAUGAGAUUCGAGGUUUAAAUACUGUAUGACAAAAAAAACUACAUAAACAUUCAGGCAAUUUCCAAAGAGGAAAAAAUAUCACUUCAAUCAUUUCAGAGCAAACAUCUCAGCAGGAUAUAAUGAAUAUAAAUAAUACUAGGACUGCACAAUGGGGGAGAAAUAGUGGAAAGAUAUAAGCAAUUGUCUGUCCAAAUUCAAGGUUUGCAUUCCAAAUCUGUCAUGGAACACACAAAUAAAUUGUCUUGUUUGCACAUCUUUAAAUAUCAAAAGAACCACUGUACUAUUUGCAGUGCAGUAAUCUUUAAUCUACCUAAUUUCAUACACUCCUCAUUUGUUAGUCUCAAUAACUCCACCUUGGAAACGACAGGCCAAUUUCAUUAAAGGAAUAACAAAUCUAUGUGAAUAUUUAGCAAUAACUUCUGUCAGUUCACAUACAGGUGUCAGAUAGGGAAAGCUGUCACAAAUAAUCAACACAUUUUUCAAAUGUAUCUAAAAGAAGGGGUUCAUGUCUAAGAUAUGGAUAUCAUAUAGUUUUGGUAGGUACAAACGUAUCAGUCAGAGAGAAUAAACAUAGAAACAUCCCACAGCCCUUCACAACAGACAAUGGUAAACCACAUCCCAGUCAUAUGACUAUGAUGUUGGAAAUCGUAGCCUCUCACGAUUCAGCAAAACAACAUGUAAAUGAUUGUCAACUGACACUCAGUUAUCACAGGCUUGUAAUCUGUAAUUAUAAAAUGUAAAACCAAAAACUAACAUCAGAGGAGUGACCAGUUGGACUUAAACAUAAUUCUUAUUUUAAACAGUAGGACUGCAACCAUUAAUGACACACAUAACAUCAACGGCAUGACUCUACAUGUGACAUGACAGGCCUACGCCUUGUUAUAAGAUGUACCUAUCCAAUGUUAUGUUGAAACAAUGGAACAUUCAAAGGGGUAAAAUGCCAACAAGAAAAAGGGUUUACAACAAUCUACCACAGACAAUAUGGUAUGGUAUGUUGGGGGGGGGGUGCAAAUCAAGAACACACUGUCUAUUGAGCAAUGAAUAUACAAUUAUGCCCAGUAUCUAGAACAUCCACACAUACUGGCAGAACUGCCUCUUGCCUGUCAAGAAUCUUGUCGAGGUAUGGUUAGAAAUUGAGAGUUCAUAUGCUUCGUCCAUAUUAGUCAACGUCACAUGAGCCAGCGGUGAAAGUCUACGUUUAACAGUUGCCAGAGACUUCAAAAGGUAUUUGGGAGUCGGUUAUCUCAAAGACAUACGAUUCUACCCAGUCUUACAACAGUGGUACUUGAUGGCUAUAACCUCUCUGAGCAUAAAUGCAUGUUGCCAUGCAACACCACUAAUCAGUAGCUAAUCAUGACCAAUAAUGGAAAACAUGAUUAAAUACAACAAUUUCAUGUUCAAACUUGGGGCUCUAGGGAGAAUUUCCAUUUACUUUAAGUAAAUCAAUUAGCUGUGUAAAAGAUAUAUGUGAGUUUUACAAGCAUUUCCUAUGUUGCGUUUCUUGUCGUUUUAUAUUAAAGCAGCUGCUAAAUGACAUUUUAUUAUUAUGGAGCUGUGAUGCCCUUUAAACUAACAAACUGGAAGUGAUUACAGCUUCAUUUACAAUGUUGGUAAUGGUAUUCUUUAUGCUCUCCCUUUUUGUUUUACAGAAAGAUACACAAAAAAACAAAAAAAAACUUGUCUCGCAAACUACAGAUCCUUCAGGUCCACCACUUCAGAUCUUGAGACAAUGUUUUCCUUUAAUAGCCAUUCCACCAUUUUCCCUUAGUAGACCACCUAGAGAAAGAACCAUGCGGAAGCCAGGAAGAUUCCCCUAGCUUUCCAUUUCAGAACCUCUGCGACAACAGACUGCAGAAAACGUUCCAACUCAAAGCUGAAAAAGACGGUCAGUAUUCUCGGACCGCUGCACCAUUCCAUUCCUUCCCCGAGACGUUCCACCACAACUGCUCUUGGUCUGUCCAAACCCCUCGCUUCCUCAACUGCAUCAACUUUGAGGUUAGAAUUUUUCCCAAAUCGUCUGAAUGCUUCAAGAUUUUCAUUCCCUCUUUCCCCCCUUCUACAGUUCGCAGGAGACAGUUAUGUGAAAUGAGCUUGGAGGGUUGUGUGAGAACACCUCUUCUCAGUCUUCUUCUGCCCGAGGCCAAGGCCCUCCGUCGACUAACUUGCGGUCCCCAGGGGGAAAGGAAGAGGUGGCAGGGGCUGGGGAGUGACUCCUGUGUCCCCAAUGAGGAUCCGGAACCUUUCACCCCCCCUCAUCGAAGGGCCCGUCUCCCUGGCGGCGCUACCCUGACGUGUGCUGCUUUUCCUGUUCUCCGUGUAUCUGCGCGCGGGCAGCGCCUUCUCGCUUUUCCCUCCCUCGUUUCCAGCUCUUUGUCCUGUCCAGCUCCACCUCCACGUUGCUCUCACUCUUGUGAUUGGUUGGUUUUUCUCGGUCUCUCUCCUGUUGCUUUCACACAGUGGUGCUUCAGUUGUAGCAGUGGAAAACAGGUAUCCAUGUUUGUUCUUUUUUUUUUUUUACAUUACCCAGAUUAAAAUGCCGACGAACUAAGCUCAGCACAGGCCUAGCUCUGUUUUUCACAACCUAAGGGUGAAAUGAAACAAAUUUCA